rnacentral:lncRNA from 1 species
UUUAAUGGCUACAGUACCUGCAUAUUUAUUUGUAGGCGUACUGUUAGCAACAAACAGUUCAGCCAUAUACAUCUUUACUUAUAAAUAGGCCACAGUAUUUUCCAUAGGGAUCCUUCCCAGAUUGGUAUUGUAAGUGUAUUUGGCUUUUUUUUCCUCCCCUAAAUCUCUGAAACCAGCAUUUCCUUCAAUACACGAACAUGUUAAUAAUUAACAUUGGCCAACACAUUGAUUACUUUAAAAGUUAAACAUAUUCUAAAAUGAAGGGUAUUUCUUAAGGCCAAUAUUAAUUCAGUUUCCAGCUUAAGGCUUUCAAGCAGUGGAAGACCAGUUGAUCCAGGACAGUUACAAGCAUGGGGGUGCCGUCCCCAAAAGGAGUGGGGAGGAAGAUGGAAGUCUACCUUUGCUCCAUGAUUGUCGCUCUAGUUGCUGCUAAUGGCAUGGAGGGAAGGAGAAAUGUUGGUCAUGAGUCAAGAGAAGCUGAGCAUGAAGUUCAUCAUUUCAGAGAAAUAGCACUUUUUUGCCACUUGAGGGGGCACUUCUAAUAACAGAUCUUCUGAAUGUAUUUUGAAUGAAUGCAUAAAAAGGAACCAGCAAACAGAAACUUAUAUUGUGAUUUUUUAACACAUUUAAUGGUUGCUGAUGUUUUGUUUUCUUAUUUUUAGUAUUUGAUUGUUUGCAUGCUACUUUUUUCCUGGUAUGGGUCCCAAGGUGCCUAAAAAAUGAUUAAAAACUAAGUGUUUAAAAAAUUUUGGGUAAAUGUUGAUUGUUAUAUUGUGUUUUAUUUUGCUUUGUACCAUGU